GGCUUCCAGACCUGGGGCAUGGAGCGGAGCGGCUGGGGAGCCCACGAUAGGACCGGCUGGCGCAGCGGGCUGGGCCCACACUCAGGCUCCCUGGAGUGGAUGCCCACGGCGCUGCUCCCAGCAGGCAGAUGGGCAGGAUGCAGGAUUCGAGCUUUCUGGUCCCUUGCCAGCAACAUUCCUGCCACAUUGAUAGAGACCUACAGUCCAAAAAGAGGGACGUGAGGAACCCUUCUGCUCUACUUCAUUCCUUGGGGGGCCGGUGGAAGCACACCAGGGAGUCAGACGGGAAACGAAGAGAAGCCCAGAAUCGUCGUGUGCAGGGUCAGGAGGCAGGCGAGGGCCUGGCCCUGGUCGGCCUGCAGGUGCUCGCCCGGGCUGCGUGUGGGUGCGGGAGGCCGGAGACAGACCGGACCCUCCACCCCAAGGAGUCUCAGGGCAACAGAUCGCUUGGUGAGGCACGACUGCUCCAGACCACCCAGCAGUGAAACUGGUAGGUAGUGAGCUCCCCAGCAGUGGAGGAUGAAUAACUUCCAGGCGGGCCUGCUGUAAAAAGGCCGGAGCAGAAGAUAGGACACUGAACCUAGUUUGCCCUCCAAGUUCCCCUCCCUUUAGGAGAUGGUGUUCUGGCUUUAGGACAGGAAAUAAUCAUUAAAUAUUUGCUCUGCCCGGCUCAGCAACGGAAGGGUAGCUGCCACCUGCCUGAGGGACAACCAUAGAGCGGCGCAGGUACCUGGGGGGGACAAGAGGGUUUUGAAGCCGAGCCAGGAACUGCUGGGGACCUCGCGCUGGGCUCGGCUGCAGAUCUGGGACUUCUACUGCUGUGCAGAAGCGACCGUGGGAUUGCCUGAUGCUCUCAAAGGGCUGCUUUUGAAUAAGAGUUUUCCCAUUGACUCAUUGUACUCUUCUUAAAAUUUCUCAGUAGGCGUGAAAUCUUCCAAAAUGAAUCUUUCAAAAAAAAAAAAAAAAAAACAGAUUGUAUCUUUCUGCACCGAAGAUCACACAUAGGGCCUCAUUCAGGCUGGGCGAGCCCACUGCCACUGAGCUACACCUCCGGCCCAACGCUGCUGUUUUGACUUAAAUAUUUCAGAGUUAAGCCCAGAAUUUGUAUUUUUAAUAUUCUCCCCAGGGGGAUCUAAUCUAUAGAUCUGUAGCUUAGAAUCUUUCCUCCAAGUGAAUUAUAGAAAAGCGUCAGUAAAUACAAUUUUGUUAUACUUUGUAUAAAUUAGAAAUUCUCUGAGAAUAAUCAUUCAUACAUAUUAUAUAGGUAUGGGGGAGUUUUAGAUGUUGCUUUUUCUUGAGAAGAAUCACAUGUAGCUGGGCAUGCUGGCACACACUUGUAACCCCAGCCCUGGAAGGCUGAUGCAAGAGGGUUGCCAUAAAUCCAAGGCCAGCCUGAAAUACAUAACAAGAGCCAGUCUCAAAAAACAUACAAAAGAGAGAAAGAAAGAAAGAAAGAAAAAGAAAGAACUGUGUUUAUAUUUAACCCUUUGAAAUACAAAGAAAGAUAUAAUACCUGCAAAGCAAAAGGACAUCUUCCUUUCAGUCUGUUUUAUCUGAGGGGCAGGAGGAGUAGGCCAUGAAGCAUGCUAGUAAAAGGUUUUGUUUUGUUUGCAGUUGGGCCCACACAGUUGUGUAGUUGUGUGAAACAAAUAAAAGGUAAAAAAG
ensembl:lincRNA